rnacentral:sRNA from 1 species
GUACUUUGCAUCAUGCGUGAAGAGUUCCGACGUCGAGCCGACGCACUAUUGGGAGUUGGACUGGAGGGGUGAGUUUCUUCUUGAUGCUCCGCAAUAAAAAUUUCCAGAUCUUCGGCAUGGACACAACCACCCUGCCUAAUUCAGGCGGGAAUCUCUGUGACGACGGCGGCCCAUGAUUGGGAUUUGGAUUUUGAUCUGGGGAUAAGAAGGAAACGGAGUUAGUCAACGACUUAAUUAACUCGUUAGUGAGCGAGUUACGAGUCGGCUAUUUAGUAACUCAGGUGAGGCUUGGAGCAGGUGACGUCACGACCAAGCCCGCUUGAAACUGGGGUCGCGAUUUCGAGAUCGGAUGAGAGAUAUCUCUAACUUAUACGAUGAUAUUAACUAGUUAUAGACUUUCGCUUGUUUGAUUCUCUUGGCUCACACAUACUUUUUCAGAUAAAUACUCACAAUUUUUGUAUGUAACUGCGAGAAUCGUCAUGAGAGAUACAAUUCAACUUGGAUAUCGCCCAAUUCCGGAACGACCGAGAUGGCGGCAGAGAUUGGCCCAUCAAAAUCGACGAUUAUCUUGGACUCUUCCGAGAACUGGAGCCUUUGGUACAAAAUGAUAUUUAGAUCUCGCAGUAGAAAACGAUAUAUUGGAGUUCAUCGAUGAUGAAAGCUCUGACCAGAUCGAUCAACUGCCCGUCCCAUCUCCUCCUAGUAUCCCAACCGAAUAUACCCCAGAAGAAAUAAUUCAUGGAAGAUAGAACGUACUCAAUAGAGCGAUGAGAUGGUCAAAUAUCAGAAGAAGGUCAAUGGUGUCAGCAAGGUCAAGCGAGAGAUCCUGAAAACGGUGGCCGCCAGCGAGCUUCGAAUAGCAACAACUGGAAAUCGACUUAUCGAUGCCAGAAAGUUUAACCUUCGCAGAACGCCCAAAAGAAACCUAAAAGAGUGAUUUGAUGAUUGGACCCUGAUUGAGCAUGAGCUUAAGCAAUCAGCUAUAGACGGGAACUUUGAUCUAUGGAAGGACUUCUUCCAUGCUAAUAAAUCAAUCGAUCCUGUUCACGUUGCUUUUUGGAACCGUAAGAUUGCAAAGGAAGGAAAAGGGAGCUUUGCAGAUAUGAUCAAUGAGUUCCGUUGCAUUGCUAAAACCUGGACCUGUUGUUGUCUAACCUUGCCACAUUAAAUGGUACGCAUGCAGGACGCUCCAUUUCACAUAAAUAACUAAAGGAUAUCGUUGUAUGUAUUCGCUAGGAAUAUCAUGAGAGAAUAAUGACAAUUUAUACUUAGUAACUUCGU